rnacentral:rRNA from 1 species
AUACGGAGGGUGCAAGCGUUAUUCGGAAUCACUGGGCGUAAAGGACGCGUAGGCGGGUUGGCAAGUCAGAUGUGAAAUCCUACAGCUUAACUGUAGAACUGCAUUUGAAACUGCUAACCUAGAGUAUGGGAGGGGGAGAUGGAAUUAGUGGUGUAGGGGUAAAAUCCGUAGAUAUCACUAGGAAUACCGAAAGCGAAGGCGAUCUCCUGGAACAUAACUGACGCUCAGGCGUGAAAGCGUGGGGAGCAAACAGGAUUAGAUACCCCAGUAGUCC